rnacentral:rRNA from 1 species
UGGGGAAUAUUGCACAAUGGGCGCAAGCCUGAUGCAGCCAUGCCGCGUGUGUGAAGAAGGCCUUCGGGUUGUAAAGCACUUUCAGCGGGGAGGAAGGCGGUGAGGUUAAUAACCUCAUCGAUUGACGUUACCCGCAGAAGAAGCACCGGCUAACUCCGUGCCAGCAGCCGCGGUAAUACGUAGGUGGCAAGCGUUGUCCGGAUUUAUUGGGCGUAAAGCGAGCGCAGGCGGUUUCUUAAGUCUGAUGUGAAAGCCCCCGGCUCAACCGGGGAGGGUCAUUGGAAACUGGGAGACUUGAGGGCAGAAGAGGAGAGUGGAAUUCCAUGUGUAGCGGUGAAAUGCGUAGAUAUAUGGAGGAAAACCAGUGGCGAAGGCGGCUCUCUGGUCUGUAACUGACGCUGAGGCUCGAAAGCGUGGGGAGCAAACAGG